rnacentral:rRNA from 1 species
UACGGAGGGAGCUAGCGUUGUUCGGAAUUACUGGGCGUAAAGCGCACGUAGGCGGCUUUGUAAGUUAGAGGUGAAAGCCCGGGGCUCAACUCCGGAACUGCCUUUAAGACUGCAUCGCUUGAAUCCAGGAGAGGUGAGUGGAAUUCCGAGUGUAGAGGUGAAAUUCGUAGAUAUUCGGAAGAACACCAGUGGCGAAGGCGGCUCACUGGACAUGUAUUGACGCUGAGGUGCGAAAGCGUGGGGAGCAAACAGG